GUCUACAGCCAUGCCACCCUGAACAAGCCCGAUCCUGUUUGAUAAGCAGAGUCUGGCCUGGUUAGUACUUGGAUGGAAGACCACCUAGGAAGAGCAGGUGCUGUAGGCG
rnacentral:rRNA from 1 species